AGCAAGGGCUUAAAGGCUGAGGUGUCCAUAGGGGCGGGUUCUUGUGUUUUCAGUCAGCUGCUUAGCCAGGGAAACGGAGCGGAGUGGAACCGCGAUUACAGAUGAGUGUUGGUGGCCAGUGUGCUGGCGUUCCGUAUGUUGAAGGGUUUGUGUGCAGUUACCAGUAAUUGAAUCACGGAAGCGUCUCUGGGUUUAACGCCGAAUGGGCGUGUAACUAGAACGAAUCUCGAUAUCCGCUGGGAACUCUCUCACUCUUGCGGCCAGGUGCGUAUAACCAACAAAGCAUUGAGACGGUCCCCCUGCUCUGCGCGCUGAGAAUAUUAAUAUCAAAUGUUUUUCAACAGACUGUGCUGGGGUUACAGGGUGUUUGUAUACUGUAAUUGCUGCCGUGUGCUUGGGCGGAUGGCCUAGCCAAACCCGUUGUUAUACCAGGUCCCGUGCGCCCCGUCAUACGUGUGCACUGGCUUCUGUGCGCUCCGGCGUCUGUGUGUGUCUUCACACGAGGUUAUUAGAAGCCUUUUGUGAAUGAACCCGUCUCUCGUCUUGUUUACUUUGUUUGGACAUCCAGCCACUGUUUUCUCAUGUAUGAAACUUAUGUAUGUUUUUAUCAUUCAUUGAUACCAUGCCUAUGAACUUAUAGGGUUAAUGUCAAGCUCUUCGAUCCGGUCAUUAAUCUUUUACCAUUGAGAAAUUGUUGUGUUUGGGCAGUGUGCAAUAUUACGGGGGGACAGGGGAAAGUGCUAGUGGGCAUGUGCAAUUUGGAUAGCUUUAGCUGAUCAUCAUAGUAGCACUCACGCACUUUACUUGCUCUCAAAUUUAAGUGGCCAUUGCUUGGGUUCUCGUAGCUAGUGGGCGGAGCUCAAUGCUCAAGGUAUUAAGGUGACCACUGUGUGGUGUGAUUAGAAUUUGUGUGUACUAACAAAGCACUUUAUGGUUAAUGCAGUGUAGCCUUUGUUGCUGUCUUUGGUGUGCUGAAUCCUUUUGGAGCCUUGUGCUCAUGAUGAACUAAAGGUGGAUUUCCUGUCAACAUUGAGUACUGUGGUCCGGCCCAAUAUUUAGUGUAAAUAUCUCCUACGAAGGCUACGAGAACGCAUGUAUGUGUCCAUGAUGUGUUACUACCAUUAAUGUUGUUCCUGUACGAAGCACCUAUUUUAAUAACUCUGCAGACCAUAAAUAAAUUAUGUCUACAUUGUUUUUGCUA